CUGAUACUUCAAACAGUGAUGCCAAUGACUGGCCUAGUUUGUGGUGAAACCCAUCGUGCCUUCUGCUGCAAUCUGUUGGAGGGAACGGUUGUCUGAGAAUCCAUGUGGGUGUAUCUAUCACUUUGUAAAGAGGAACUCCAGCUCUGGGAAGCCUUAAAAGUCCCAGGAUGAGGGAGUAGUAGAAAAGGAGAAGAGGGACAUGAGACCCAGGGUAGAAAGGAUGGUUAUGGGGUGUGAAGAAUGGAGGAUGUAGGAAGGAGAAAAUGAUUAGAGGAAUCCUUACUUAAGAAGGCAAAACAGUUUGUGAAAUCAAUGGAUCUCCACCCCUUUGCAGAAGCCAGGCAGCCUUGGCUGGGGCCCACCUCAGGCCCUUGUUAUGCUGGUAGCUUUCACUUCUUCUUUGUGUGUGUGUGUGUCUGCGUGUGUGUGUGUGUGUGUGUGUGUGUGUGGUGGUGGUGGUGGUGGAGUAUAGAUGCAGAGGGAUCUUAGUUUGGUUGCCUUUCCAGGUCUAUCUGUAGGUAGGCAGGUUAUCCAUGUGUAUUGAAAGUAUGUUGUCGGGCCUAAUCCCAGCACUUUGGGAGGCUGAGGUGGGUGGAUAACCUGAGGUCAGGAGUUCGAGACCAGCCUGAUCAACAUGGUGAAACCCCGUCUCUACUAAAAAUACAAAAUUAGCCAUGCGUGGUGGCACAUGCCUGUGAUCCCAGCUACUUGGGUUGCUGAGGCAUGAGAAUAGCUUGAACCUGGGAGGUGGAAGUUGCAGUUAGCCGAGAUCAUGAGAUCGUGCCAUUGCACUCCAGGCUG
rnacentral:lncRNA from 10 species